GCAGAUACACGUGUAGAAACAUACACACACGUAAUGUACACAUAUGUAUAGUGCACAUAUGCACGCACUUGUACACACAUUUAGGCAUACACAUGCAUAUGUAGAUGCAUGUGUACAUGCAUGUAUACAUCUACACAUGCACAGACACACAUACAUGUACACAUGCAUACUGUGUACAUAAUACAUGUAUACAGAUACAUGUGCGCAUGCACGUGUACACACAUGCAUGCAUACACACAUGCAUUUGUAGAUAUAUGUGUAGGUGUGUACACACAACAUACACAUAUGCAUCCACACAUACACAUAUACAUAUGAGGUGGCACGUUCAGCUUUCAAGAGGACCAUCAGGGACUUUGUCACCUUGACAACUUUAGCCUUGCCUUCUAGUCACCUUGCCGGAACACUUGUGCCCGUGUUUUUCUAGCACUGUCAUAAGAAUACUUUUACCUAUCAAGGCAACUGGGGGUUAGGAGAGCUUUUUGCACAGGAGGCUACUUGGCUUUGUUUGAAAACUGAUGAUACAUGAGGAUUGGGGUGGUGAAUCACUCACAUGUUUCUUCAUAUGAAAAAUGAGGACUGUGGGAUUCUCUGGCUGGAUCUCAGCACCUAGAAAUGGAUCUGGGCAAUAGGAACUGCUCAGUAUUAGCUACCGCUUUGGUUGCCUUCUCCUUGCGGAAAGCUGGCCUCUCACACUGAAUUUGUAUCAUAGGCACUCAUGAGGGUCUUGACUGUAUCAAUAUCUGAUGAGAGAUUUUAGUGCAGUUCUGUUAUCGUGGCUGAUUUGCUCAUUUGGUAGCUAGCAUCCAGCUUCUUGUGAACAUUAAAAUAAAAUAAAAUAGAUUAUGGAGGAAUAGAAUACAGAUACGUAGUAAGGUAUUAUUUUCCAGACAAAAUGGAUUUGGAUAAAAGAAUCUAAUUAAGAACUUGUGCAUGAUUCUUUUAAAAUUCUUUUGAAUCCAUUUUUUUUUUUUUGGCCUGUUUUCAAGUCUCCGAUUUUUGUCACCCUUCUCACACCAGGUCAGAGAGAUAGCUAAUGGUCAGAAGGAAUCUUCCAGCAAUGACCAUAGCGCUUUCUCCUGCCUGCAGAUGCCUCUUUUUAUUCAGCCUUUAUGGGAAGUAGCAGCACCAUCCAGUUCUCAGAGAGCAAGCUCUGGAGUAACUGAGCUAACCCCAGUUACCCCAGUGGAUUUACAGAUUGAGGUUACAACCCAGCAGGGUUCUCUUCCUGGAAAGAAUAGCCUUCCCUCUAAGGUUUCAAAUAGACCCUGGGUGAGGAAGGAGCCCUAAACAGCUUGAAAAAUUGAAUGCUCUUUGGGCAAAGCAGGAAGCCGUCCUAUGGAAGAGCAUCAUUUGAGCAUAAAUCAGGUUAUCAGGACAAACAGAGUGUUCAGGAGGUCAAGAUGGUUAAGCAGAGACCCUGACCAGAAUGUCCGUGGCGGAGAGAAACAAUCUUGUUGGGAAAAGGAUGACAAUAAUUGGGGACUUAGAAUAAAGGCUAAAAAUGAUUCAAAGAGAAUGCAAAAAGAAUCAGGCACAAAUCGUUUACUAUACUCUGUUAUGCAAAUCUCACCUUACUAUGUGUUUGUAUUCUAUUCCUCCACAAUCUUUAUUUUAUUUUAAUGUUCAAAGAGACUUGUAGGUGCCAAUUAAAUGAACAAAACAGCCAGAGACAACAGAACUGCCCUAAAAAAAGUCCCGCAUCAGCUCUUGAGAGCAGGUUCCUUAAAGGUGAACAAUAUUCCACAUACAAGGACUUUUUCAGCACCAUGCAUUAGAAAUGGAAGUGAAUGUUUAUUAUUUUUUGUAUAAGUUGGUUGAUAUGGCUUUUCAGCUUCCCUCAGUAUCAUUAUCCAAAUUUUGUAGAUGACACUAAAGCUCAGAGGAGUUAAACCAUUUUCCUUAAAUCACAUAGCUUUAAAUAGGAAAACCAGAUAUGAAAAGCAGAUUUUUUUUCUAAAUUAAAAAACCAAAAACAAAAACACGUGAGCUCUUGCUUUACCCUAGCACAUAGUCUUGCCAUCUGUUUUCUCCACACCAGGUGAUUCCUGUAACAUUCAUUCACAUAACAAAUACAAAUAAAUGAGUGGAUUCAUUCAUCAGAUAUUAAUUCAGAAUCCCUUUUGUGCCUUCCAGAAAUCUGGACCAUCUCACAACCCCCAGAGAGUCUCAGCUACAAGGAACAAGUGAUAAUGCCAUCCCACUUUUAUAAACACACACACACACACAUGCAAUACACACACAAUCAUUUAAUCAUUUUUAAUUAUUUAAUUAUUUUUUAAAAAUCAGUGACACUUUAGCUGGGCAGGUCUAGAUAGGUCUUCUUUGCUGGGACGUGUCUUUUUCUGUCCUGGAAUACCCUAAACUUCACAUUUUGGCAGCGUGAGUUUUCCCUUUGUGACUUUCUCCUUCUUCCCUUUUUUCCUCCUUCUUUGCAGAGAAUGAGUAGCCACUGCACCUUGCCCUGCGCCAUCAAUGAGAAGAUCUGCUCUUAGUAGAGCCCUGCUUUCCCGCUGAAGGCCCUGAAAUCACCUGUGUUCCAGGCCACCCACUAAGGAUAAACAAAGCUUCCCUGAUAUGGGGAAUUAGCUCAAGUGGUAGAGCGCUUGCUUAGCAUGCAAGAGGUAGUGGGAUCAAUGCCCACAUUCUCCAAGCUUUAUUAUUUAGGUACCCAAACCCGAGUCAGUGUCUGAGAGCAAGACACUGCUCUCGGUGUCUUUGGUUCAAGACAUAGGAGCAGCAACAAUACAGGACUGGUGACAGCUUCCUGCUGGCAUUCAGUAUAGUGUAGAUCUACUGUGUAAUUAAUUUUCUGUUUCUUCGAGGAGCUGUGAAACCAAAGGACAUAUAAAACUGCUCUUUUCUCCCUGUUUCUGCCUGCAGCUUGGUCCUAAAUGUGAGACAAUUGUGAAAAGUGGAGGACAGAGCCACCUGGUUAAAUACAGCCCCAGCUUUCUGGUGAGAGGACUGAAACCAAGAUGUGUCAAGUAACUAGAAUGUGCCUGGACAGAUACUGUAGAAAGCAAAACCAUAAAGUUGUUCAUGAGCUUGUGGACGCACCUGCCAGCUGUGAAUAAGUGGCUCUAAUCCCGAACAACUUACCUAAAAAGAGCCUGAGAGCUGAACUGUGCAAUGGCCCACUUUCCAGUCCUCACUGACCACUGGGUUGCACACACUUUGGAGAUCUCUGAACAGCAGUGUCAAGGCUUUCAAAUAGAGUUAUCUUUGAAACGACAACACAUGAAAGUCUGGUUGGUACUUGGAGCUUAAAUACAAGGCAAUUGUGUGCCUGCAAAAACAAAAAUAGCAAUAUUAUCCUUAAGAUUUCAACAAGACACAGUGUCUCAUCACAUAAUCCAAAGAAGUCCAGGUUACAAGCCCCACAAUAUUCAGCAUUAUGAAAAAACAGGGAGAUCUUAAUUCACAUGGCAAAGAGAAUCCUCGAAUAACAAUAUUGAGAGGACACAGAUGUCAAAAUCAUCUGACACAUACAUUAAAGCAGAUAUUAUAACAAUGCUCCUAGAAUCGGGGAUAACAUUCGUGAAGUGAAUGGAAAGUUGGAAAGUCUCACCAAAUAUUUCGAAUACAUAAACACCAAUUUAAACUUAAGAAUUAAAAAAAUGUAUUAACCAAAACUCUUAGGGGAAAUAAAAAGCUUAAUUGGAGGAUCUCCAUAAUCGAAUGCAGAAGACUAAGGAAAAAGUCAAUGAACUUGAAAACAGAACACGAAUACCUACAUAAUCUGAACUAUAGAGAGAAAGGAGGAUUUUAUUGUCUCUGAACAGAGGCUCAGGCACAAAUAAAAAAUAACAAAUCCAACAUUCACAUUAUUGUAAUCUGGAAAGAAGAGGACAAAGUGGUCUUUGUGGGAUAAAACUUUGAACAAUUAAUAGCUGAAAAUGGUUCAAAUUUGUCAAAAGAUAUAAACCAGAUUUUUAAAGUUCAGUAAAUGUCAAUCAGGAUAAACCCAAAGAAACCCAUAGCAAGGCAUAUCAUAAUCAAACUGCUGAAAACUAAGAAAAUACAAAACAAUUUUGAAAGCAGCCAAAGGGAAAUGAAAGAGAAACUACCAAAUGAAUGAUUGUAGAUUUCGCAUCAGGAACCAUAGGGGCCAGAAAAAAUGUCAUAACAUUCGGUAAGUAACAAAAGAAAAAGACAUAUCGACCCAGAAUGCUAUGUGGAGCAAAAGUAUCUUCCAGACAUAAAGGCAAAUAAAUGCAUUCUCAGUGGAAGGUAAGUAAAUACAUUCUCAUUCUUAGGAAGACUGCUGGAAAAGAAUUAGCAAAGAUUUGAGAUAAGAAAAAUGAUACCAGAAGGAAACUUAGAACAUCAUCAGUGAAGGAACAAAAGCAGAAAUAGAACAUGUCUGGGUAGACAUAACAGACUAUUAUUCUUCCCUUGAGUUCCUUAAGGAGACUACGGAAAAGAAGAGUGACUAAGAUCUCUGAAGAAGGGAAAAGCUAGAUGACUGGGCCACAAGAGGAAAAAAAGCAGCAAGACAGAGAUUUGUUGGUGCCAACUAAAUGAGCCCAACAGCCAGUGACAACAGAACUGCACUAAAAAAAGUCCCUCAUCAGCUCUUGAGAGCAGGUUCCUUAAAGGUGAACAAUAUUCCACAUACAAGGACUUUUUCAGCACCAUGCAUUAGAAAUGGAAGUGAAUGUUUAUUAUUUUUUGUAUAAGUUGGUUGAUACGGCUUUUCAGCUUCCCUCAGUAUCAUUAUCCAAAUUUUGUAGAUGACACUAAAGCUCAGAGGAGUUAAACCAUUUUCCUCAAAUCACAUAGUUUUAAAUAGGAAAACCAGAUAUGAAAAGCAGAUUUUUUUCUAAAUUAAAAAAAAAAAAAAAACUUGAGCUCUUGCUUUACCCUAGCACAUAGUCUCACCAUCUGUUUUCUCCAUGCCAGGUCAUUCAUGUAACAUUCAUUCACAUAACAAAUACAAAUAAAUGAGUGGAUUCAUUCAUCAGCUAUUAAUUCAGAAUCUCUUUUGUGUCUACCACACUAGGCUCAAGACUUCCCAGUGUCUUUGUCUCCUCUCCCUCAAAUCUCUCCACCCAAUGUCUUGACAAAUACUGUAGAUCCUUCCUGCACAGCAUCACCAGAAUGUUUUUCUUUCUUUUCAUUCACCUCUGUCAUCAUCCAUGCUAUGGUGUUUAUGGAGGAUGUAUUCUGCAGCAGGAAGUGUGAUGGGCACUGACGCUGCAGAAAGACUCCUGUUGUCCACCUCGGGAGCUGACACGAUAAAUGCGGAGAAUGAGUAGCCACUGCACCUUGCCCUGGGCCAUCAGUGAGAAGAUCUGCUCUUAGUAGAGCCCUGCUUUCCCGCUGAAGGCCCUGAAAUCCCCUGUGUUCCAGGCCACCCACUAAGGAUCAAUAAAGCUCCCCUGAUGUGGGGGAAUUAGCUCAAGUGGUAGAGCGCUUGCUUAGCAUGCAAGAGGUAGUGGGAUCGAUGCCCACAUUCUCCAAACUUUAUUAUUUAGACCCUGGGUCUCCAAACACUCAGGUCUCCAAACCCAAGUCAGAGAACAGGAUGCUGCUUUGGUUCAAGAUGUAGGAGCAGCAACAAUACAGGGCUGGUGACGGCUCCCUCCUGGCAUUCAGUAUAGUGUAGAUCUACCGUGUAAUUAAUUUUCUGCUUCUUUGAGGAGCUGUGAAACCAAGGGACAUAAACAAUUGCUCUUUUCUCCCUGUUUCUGCCUGUAGCUUGAAUGUGAGGCAACUGUGAAAAGUGCAGGGCAGAGCCACCUGGGUAAAUACAGCCCUGGCUUUCUGGUGAGAGGACUGAAACCAGGAUGUGUCAAGUAACUAGAAUGUGCCUGGACAGAUACUGUAGAAAGCAAACCCAUAAAGUUGUUCAUGAGCUUGUGGACGCACCUGCCAGCUGUGAAUAAGUGGGUCUAAUCCCAAACAACUUACCUAAAAAGAGCCUGAGGACUGAACUAAACAAUGGUCCACUUUCCAGUCCUCACUGACCACUGGUUGCACACACUCCAGAGAUCUCUCAUCCGCAGUGUCAAGGCUUUCAAAUAGAGUUAUCUGUGAAACAACAACACAUGGAAGUCUGGUUGGUACUUGGAGCUUAAAUACAAGGCAAUUGUGUGCCUGCAAAAACAAAAAGAGCAAUAUUAUCCUUAAGAUUUCAACAAGACACAGUGUCUCAUCACAUAAUCCAAAGAAGUCCAGGUUACAAGCCCCAAAAUAUUCAGCAUUAUGAAAAACCAGGGAGAUCUUAAUUCACAUGGCAAAGAGAAUCCUUGCAUAACAAUAUUGAGAGGACACAUAUGUCAAAAUCAUCUGACACAUACAUUAAAGCAGUUAUUAUAACAAUGCUCCUAGAAUUACGGGAUAGCAUUCAUGAAGUGAAUGGAAAGUUGGAAAGUCUCACCAAAUAUUUGGAAUAUGUAAACACCAAUUUAAACUUAAGAAUUAAAAAAAGUAUUAACCAAAACUAUUAGGGGAAAUAAAAAGCUUAAUUGGAUGAUCUCAAUAGCAGUAUGCAGAAGACUAAGGAAAAAGUCAAUGAACUUGAAAACGGAACAAGAAUACCUACAGAAUCUGACCUAUAGAAAGAAAGGAGGAUUUUAUUGUCCCUGAACAGAGGCUCAGGGACAAAUAAAAAAUAACAAAUCUAACAUUCACAUUAUUGUAAUCUGGAAACAUUCACAUUAUUGUAAGAGGACAAAGAGGUCUUUGUGGGAUAAAACUGUGAAGAAUUAAUGGCUGAAAAUGUAUCAAAUUUCUCAAAAGAUAUAAACCAGAUUUUUAAAGUUCAGUAAAUGUCAAGCAGGAUAAACCAAAAGAAACCCAUUGCAAGACAUAUCAUAAUCAAACUGCGGAAAAUUAAGAAAACACAAAACAAUUUUGAAAGCAGCCAAAGGGAAAUGAAAGAUAAAAUACCAAAUGAAUGAUUGUAGAUUUCUCAUCGGGAACCCAGGAGCCAGAAAAAAAUGUCAUAACAUUCAGUAAAUACCAAAGGAAAAAUACAUUAUCAACCCAGAAUGGUAUGUGGAGCAAAAGUAUCUUCCAGACAUAAAGGCAAAUAAAUGCAUUCUCAUUGGAAGGUAAAUAAAUACAUUCUCAGUCCUAGCAAAACUGCUGGAAAAGAAUUAGCAAAGGUUUGAGAUAAGAAAAGUGAUACCAGAAGGAAACUUAGAACAUCAUCAAUGAAGGAACAAAAGCAGAAAUAGAAAAUGUCUGGGUAGACAUAACAGACUAUUAUUCUUCUCUUGAGUUCCUUAAGGUAUGUUUGAUGGUUGAAAGCAAAAAUUGUAACUUUAUCUGAUGCAGUUGUCAUUGUAUCUAGAUGUACUACAUACAUAAGAUAAAAGGGUAAAUGUAAUGGGACUAACUCUUGAUGAAGUUUCUAUAUUCAACUUGAAUGGUAAAAUAUUGAUUCUUAGUAUACUGUGAAAAGUUAUAUAUGUAUAUGGUAAUCCCUAGACCACUUAACAACCAGAUUGAAAUAAACCAAAACAAGAUAGACAGAGGAACAUAGAAGAAUUAAAACAAAGGGAAAAAAGGUUAAUAAAUUAUUAAAUAGUAGAUCUAUCUAAAAACUUAUCUAUAAUAACAUUAUAUGUAAAUUAUCUAAAUGCAUUAAGUAAAAACUAGAGAUCAUCAGAAUGUGUUAAAAAUAAAUAUGCUGACUAAAGAAAGCCACCUGCAAUACACUUAUAAAUAAGAAUAAAAGUUAUAGAGCAGAUUGAAAGAAAAGAGUGGGAAAAGAUACCUCAUGCAAGCAUUAAUCAAAGACAGCUGUGGUGUAUAUAUAUAAAAUCAGACAAAGUAGAUUUGAAAGCAGAGAAACUUUUCAGGAAUAAUGAGGCCUCCUAAAUAAUUAUGAUUGUCAAUUUUUCAGGAGAAUAUUGUCCCAAAUGUAUAUGAGGACACAGAGCUUCAAAACUCAUAAACAAAAUUGGAUACGCCAAGUAAAAAUAGAAAAAUCCAGUUAUAGUUGCAGUCAUUAACACUCCUCUCUGAGUAAUUGGAAGAUUUAGUGGAACACAAAUCAACAGACAUACUGGAGAAUUGAACCAUGCCAUCCAGUAAUGGACCUAUCAAUUUCAUAAUGCAAAAUAAAAAUUCAGGUAGAAAGCAAAGACAAAAAUUAAAAGAAAAGCAAGAUCAUGUUAUAAUGAGAAAAUUAAGAGUAGUCCAGUGUAUAGAAGGGUGCUAUUAUUGAAAGAGUUUGAAAUAGUGACUUAGUUAUUUUGAAACAUUUUUGAAGACGUUAUUUAGCUGGAAAUGACAGAAAGACUGAAAAUGGUGAAUGUGGAGGUGGAUCUUCCCUUGUCCAUAUUUAUCUUGUCUUCGUUUGAGGUCUGGGGUGUCUAUACUUCCUCUGAAUUACCUGAUCUUACUACAGUGUCUGGCACAGAGCAUCUCCCCAGUGAAUAUGUACUAAAUGAGUAGAAAGUAAUUGAUAGAUUCAAAAGAGUUGUGCAAGAAUAAUGUUCAUUAUUUGACUAAUCACUGAAUGUGGUGUUUCAAGGAAGACAAUGAAUCAAAGUUGACUUGAAAGGUAAGCCCAGGGCCAGACGUGGUGGCUCAUUUCUGUAAUCCCAGCACUUUGGGAGGCCGAGAUCAGUGGAUCCCUUGACACCAGGAGUUUGAGACCAGCCUAGGCAACACAGUGAAAACCUGUCUCUACAACAAAUACAAAAAUUAGCCGGGUGUGGUGGUAUGCAUCUGUAGUUCCAGCUACUCAGGAGGCUGAGGUGGGAGGAUCGCUUGAACUCAGGAGGUGGAGGUUGCAGUGAACAGAGAACGCACCGGUACCUGGACAACAAAGUGAGACCCUGUCAUAAAAUAAAAUAGUUAAACCCAGGCCAGGAGGGGUGGCUCAUGCCUGUAAUCCCAGCACUUUGGAAGGCCAAGGUAGGCUGAUCACGUGACGUCAGGAGGUUGAGACCAGCCUGGCCAACAUGGUGAAACCCCGUCUCUACUAAAAAUACAAAAAUUAACCAAGCGUGGUGGCAGGCACCUGUAGUCCCAGCUACUCUGGAGGCUGAGACAGGAGAAUUACUAGAACCCGGGAGGCAGAGGUUGCAGUGAGCCAAGAUCUUACCAUUGCACUGCAGCCUGGGCGACAGAGUGACACUCUGUCGAAAAAAAAAAAAAAAAAAAAGUUAAGCCCAAAAAGUAAGUAAGGAAGAGGUUUGGAAUUAGAUAUUUGUUGUAUGAAUGAGUGAGCUAAAGUGCAAAAGAACGGGCAGAAUAACUGAGCUGGUACAGAGGGAAAAAAUCACAUUUAAAAUCUAAAAAUAUCUGCUUCUUAGUUCAGGCUUUCCCACUUAGCAGCUUUGGCACCUUAGGAACACUUAACUUAUCUGAGCCUCUAUUACUUCUAAAAAGUGCAUAAAGUGCAGACUAAGACAGUUUUUUUGGCAAAAUUCAGUCAGACUACAUCAAGUAAACUCCCUAAGUCUCCUAGUAUAAUUCAUGGCACAAAAAAUUGGGGAAAAAACAGGGAGGAUAUGAUUAUAAGUUCAGUUUAUGUUUUUUGUUGAGUGAAUGUCUCCAGUCAUAGAGAUGCAAGUGUAGAUACACAGUAAGAGUAGUAUGAAUGGGAGACACCUUGGAAGGCUAUUUCUUCCUUCCUUCAUUCAGUUGGUCACUCAGUGAACUAUCAUGAAUUGAGCACCGCCUCUGUUUCUUAUCAACAAAGGAGACUGCGGAAAAGAAGAGUGACUAAGAUCUCUGAAGAAGGGAAAAGCUAGAUGACUGGGCCACAAGAGGAAAAAAAGCAGCAAGACAGUUACAAUUGUUUCUGGUCCCACUUUUAUAAACACACACACACACACACACACACACACACACACACACAAAAUCAUUUAAUCAUUUUUAAGUAUUUAAUCAUUUUUUAAAAAUCUGUGAUGCUUUACCUGGGCAUGUCUAGGCAGGUCCUCCUUUGCUAGGACGUGCCCUUUUCUGUCCCGGAAUACUCUAAACUUGGCAUUUUGGCAGCGUGAAGUUUUCCCGUUGUGACUUUCUCCUUGUUCCCUUUUCUCCUCCUUCUUUGCAGACAAUGAGUAGCCACUGCUGUUUGCCCUGGCCCAUCAAUGAGAAGAUCUGCUCUUAGAGCCCUGCUUUCCUGCUGAAGGCCCUGAAAUCACCUGUGUUCCAGGCCACCUGCUAACAAUAAAUAAUGCUGCCCUGAUGUGGGGAAUUAGCUCAAGUGGUAGAGCGCUUGCUUAGCACGCAAGAGGUAGUGGGAUCGAUGCCCACAUUCUCCAAGCUUUAUUAUUUAGACAUCGUGUCUCCAAACACUCAGGUCUCCAAACCCAAGUUAGUGUCUGAGAACAGGAUGCUGCUUUGGUUCAAGACGUAGGAGCAGCAAUAAUAGAGGGCUGGUGAUGGCUCCCUCUUGGCAUUCAGUAUAGUGUAGAUCUACCAUGUAAUUAAUUCUCUGUUUCUUUGAGGAGCUGUGAAACCAAGGGACAUAUACAACUGCUCUUUUCUCCCUGUUUCUACCUGCAGCUUUGUCCUAAAUGUGAGACAAUUAUGAAAAGUGCAGCGCAGAGCCACUUGGGUAAAUACAGCCCCGGCUUUCUGCUCAGGGGACAGAGUUUGAGGCACUGCAGAGGAACCGGCCAAAGUAUGAGACCCAUAUAUUGAGAGUAACAGAGUGUAAAGUUCAAAAAAAUCAAAAUAUUUAAAGAUUUAUCAUGGGUCUUGAUGACAUGAUGGAAUCUCUCUACUCUCUGGACUUAUUAUGUGUGGUAAUAAAUUUACUUUUUAAAAGCCA
rnacentral:lncRNA from 1 species